rfam:Neotoma lepida isolate 417 scaffold_378, whole genome shotgun sequence.
GGAGAGAUGGCUCAGAGGUUAAGAGCACUGGCUGCUCUUCCAGAGGUCCUGAGUUCAAUUCUCAGCACCC